rnacentral:rRNA from 1 species
AUUGAACGCUGGCGGCAUGCUUUACACAUGCAAGUCGAACGGUAACAGGCCGCAAGGUGCUGACGAGUGGCGAACGGGUGAGUAAUGCAUCGGAACGUGCCCAGUCGUGGGGGAUAACGCAGCGAAAGCUGCGCUAAUACCGCAUACGAUCUAUGGAUGAAAGCGGGGGACCGUAAGGCCUCGCGCGAUUGGAGCGGCCGAUGUCAGAUUAGGUAGUUGGUGGGGUAAAGGCUCACCAAGCCAACGAUCUGUAGCUGGUCUGAGAGGACGACCAGCCACACUGGGACUGAGACACGGCCCAGACUCCUACGGGAGGCAGCAGUGGGGGAAUAUUGGACAAU